rnacentral:rRNA from 1 species
UACAGAGGUCUCAAGCGUUGUUCGGAUUCAUUGGGCGUAAAGGGUGCGUAGGCGGCGCGGUAAGUCGGGUGUGAAAUCUUGGAGCUUAACUCCGAAACUGCAUUCGAUACUGCCGUGCUUGAGGACUGGAGAGGAGACUGGAAUUUACGGUGUAGCGGUGAAAUGCGUAGAUAUCGUAAGGAACACCGGUGGCGAAGGCGGAUCUCUGGGCCUUACCUGACGCUCAGGUGCGAAAGCUAGGGGAGCGAACAGG